rnacentral:rRNA from 1 species
GAUGACGCUGGCGGCGUGCCUAAUACAUGCAAGUCGAGCGAGCGGCGGACGGGUGAGUAACACGUGAUAACCUACCUAUAAGACUGGGAUAACUACUGGAAACGGUAGCUAAUACCGCAUACCAUCAGAUGUGCCCCGAUGGGAUGAGCUAGUAGGUGGGGUAAUGGCUCACCAAGGCGACGAUCCCUUGCGGGUCUGCGAGGAUGACCAGCCACACUGGAACUGAGACACGGUCCAGACUCCUACGGGAGGCAGCAGUGGGAAAUAUGUCACAAUGGGCGCAAGCCUGAUGCAGCCAUGCCGCGUGUGUGAAGAAGGCCUUCGGGUUGUAAAGCACUUUCAGCGAGGAGGCGGUACUCGCAGAAGAAGCACCGGCUAACUCCGUGCCAGCAGCCGCGGUAAUUC